rnacentral:rRNA from 1 species
GAUGAACGCUGGCGGCGUGCCUAAUACAUACAGGUCGAACGAAACUUCUUUAUCACCGAGUGCUUGCACUCACCGAUAAAGAGUUGAGUGGCGAACGGGUGAGUAACACGUGGGCAGCCUGCCCAAAAGAGGGGGAUAACACUUGGAAACAGGUGCUAAUACCGCAUAACCAUAGUUACCGCAUGGUAACUAUGUAAAAGGUGGCUAUACUACCGCUUUUGGAUGGGCCCGCGGCGCAUUAGCUAGUUGGUAGGGUAAAGGCUUACCAAGGCAAUGAUGCGUAGCCGAAUUGAGAGGUUGAUCGGCCACAUUGGGACUGAGACACGGCCCAAACUCCUACGGGAGGCAGCAGUAGGGAAUCUUCCACAAUGGGCGAAAGCCUGAUGGAGCAACGCCGCGUGGGUGAAGAAGGUCUUCGGAUCGUAAAACCCUGUUGUUAGAGAAGAAAGUGCGUGAGAGUAACUGUUCACGUUUCGACGGUAUCUAACCAGAAAGCCACGGCUAACUACGUG